UACGUAGGGUGCAAGCGUUGUCCGGAAUUAUUGGGCGUAAAGAGCUCGUAGGCGGUCUGUCGCGUCGGCUGUGAAAACCCGGAGCUCAACUCCGGGCCUGCAGUCGAUACGGGCAGACUGGAGUUCGGCAGGGGAGACUGGAAUUCCUGGUGUAGCGGUGGAAUGCGCAGAUAUCAGGAGGAACACCGGUGGCGAAGGCAGGUCUCUGGGCCACUACUGACGUGGAGAAGCGAAAGACAU
rnacentral:rRNA from 1 species